UACGUAGGGUGCAAGCGUUGUCCGGAAUUAUUGGGCGUAAAGAGCUCGUAGGCGGCUUGUCACGUCGACUGUGAAAACCCGGGGCUCAACUCCGGGCCUGCAGUCGAUACGGGCAGGCUAGAGUUCGGCAGGGGAGACUGGAAUUCCUGGUGUAGCGGUGAAAUGCGCAGAUAUCAGGAGGAACACCGGUGGCGAAGGCGGGGUCUCUGGGCCGAUACUGACGCUGAGGAGCGAAAGCGUGGGGAGCGAACAGG
rnacentral:rRNA from 1 species